GCCUGCCCCUGCCCGGCUCCCUCCUCGGUGCCCUGGGGCUGGGGGGCGGGAGUGGGUGGGAGGGGGGUUGGGCGGGGCAGCCCCGGACGCCUGGGUCUCUGCCCCUCCCAUUUGCUGGGCUUCCGUGGCUCCAUCCCCAGGAGGCUGGGCAAGGCUGGCAGAAGAGGGGAAGACUUCAGAGAUGGGAGAACCUCACCAGGCAGAGAAGAGAAAAAGAGCACUGGAGCAGAGCAAAAGGAACAGUGGAAACAAAGGACUGGAGGCAUGAAAGCGAGAGUGUCAGAUUCAAGGCGUUCUGCGUUCUGCGCUGGGACUGGCUGGAGAGUUUUCCGUGGAGGGUAGCAACCUAGGAGAGCAUCCCUGGGCAGACCUUGAAGGGGAGGGCUGGCUGGGGAGGUCUGAGCUCCAAGCAGGAUCAGCAAAGGCUCAGCGAGUCUUAGAUUUUUAAUCCUGCCCCCACCCCUGCCUCUUUUAGUCUGCCCCUCCUACUUCACCCCUGCCUUUCCCUUUACCCAGCCCCCAGCCUGGCCACUCCUGCAGCUAAAUGGACUUCUCUCUCGGCCUACGCUUGGGACCUCGGAACAAGAAACCCACCCACCAACAGCCCCCUCCACCCUCUGGGCACGGCCCACCAGCAGCAGCCUCUCCUUGCCUGUCCUGUCCCCCUUCUGUCUGUUUUUGCCCCUGCCCUAGCUGUCCUCCUCCCACCUGCUCCUGCACCACCUAUCCCUCCUAUGCAGCCCCCUGCCCCUCCUGUCCAAGCCUCCCUGGCCCACCCUGUACUUGCUCCUGCUCUCCCUGCCCUGCCUGCCCUCCCUUGAAUUGUCCAUACAGCUCCUGCAGCUUGUGCACUGGUCCGCACUUGACCUGCGGCCACGGCUCACCUUGCCCAAAUUACCCUUGCUUCAAAGGCCAAGCUGCCUGUCCCAGCUCCUGCCUGGGCUGCAGUGACAACUGUGGCUGUGGCCGAGGGGCUCCUCCAGGCUCCACUGGCCGCUGCUUCAGGGGACAACGCACCUCUCAGAGGCACUGUCUGAUAGUCUAGCUGGGCUGUUGUGCGCCCCCCCCCCCCCCGAGAGAUUGUCAGGCUCCUGGAGCCCUUUGGCCAACUGCUUCCUCUGGGGGGAGGCAGAAGUUCUGGAGUGAGGAUAGGGAUCAGCUAAAUACCUUCACCCAGGCAGGUAGAGACAGAAGGCUGCUCAGAGACCCAGCCUCCCCCGCUCAGUACCUGAGAGCGGUGCAUCCACUUUGGUGUUAGUUUCUGGGUAUGCUCCCCUGGUUCCAGAACAUCCUCUUCUGCCACUUCUGGAAUGGAAAUCGUGCUUCCCAGAGCCUCCGUCGUGGCCGCUGAAGGAUAGCCAAAUAGUUCCAAGUGGUGGAGAAAACUUCUCAUUUACUGAAGAAUUCCAGCUAAUAUAAAAGAAAUAUGGAAUUAGAAAAAUCAUUUUGCAACCCUUAAUGAAAUAAUGGAUCAAAGCAAGAAUUAUGAAUGGAUGAAACCAAAGAUGACAGUGGAUGGGGAGCUUUAUAAUGGAAGAAUCAAUCUGUCACCACUCGACCCCACUAAUAGGUCUUACCAUCACUAAAAGGGGCACAACCACCCACCGUCGAACUCUAGAUGUGAUGUAAUCUGAAGCCCUCAGCACCACCCGUGAAAGACUGUUCCCAAACAAAGGAACAAACACACAAAAAAGCUGAAUGUGAUUCAUAUCAAACCUCUAGAUCUAACUUCCAUUCAACAGGAAAUACCAGGGAUGGAGGAACAACUUAAAUGACACAACGAAGAAGUGAGAAGUCACAUCCAGAAUGUGGAAUCUUUUCAACGAAAUCUGACCCAACUUCUUCAACUACUGAAUGGCUGGGGGGAGAGAUAAUAAUAAUAAUAAAUAAUAAUAAUAAAAGGACAACUAUUAUAUGGAACACAUGGACACUGUUUGGUUCCUGAUUUGGACAACCCAACUAUAAAAAGACCAUUUUAGAUUUGGAGCCUUUUAAUUAUGGAUUGUAUAUUUACAAUGCCAAGAAAUCAGUAUUGAUUUUGUUAGAUGUAAAAUGGCUUUGGAGUUAGGUUAUGCAAGGAAAGGGCCUUAUUUCCUGGAGAUACAUGUUGAGGUAUGAGUGAAGUGAACAGAUUUAACUGUUGGAUGAGUGUUACCAGCUAACAUGGGCCGGCACUUUUUAGACUAAUUUAUCUGGAUUCACUUACUUUUAGAUAUUUUGGCAAAUAAAAAAGGACAGAAAGAAGGGAGAAGAAGGAACAAAGUGAAAAAAUUAAUAUUAUUGAAUUAACCAUAUAGAGGUUCAUAGAACUAUACUCUGUAUCUUUGUGUAUGUUUGAACAUUUUCAUAAUAAAAGUUUUAAUGAUGCUCUUCUGGUGAGCAGGGUUCCUAGUUUUCCCAGAGUAUCCUCCCACCUUCCUUGAAAACCAGAACUCCUCAAUACACAGACCUCAGCCCUCCUUUCUCUCUACUAGAAACAUGUCCUAGAGAUAGGCUGUGCUCACAGGAUGGUUUUAUUCCCUCUAGUCCUCUGCUGGCAUAUUUCCCAUGUUAGGACCUUUCCCAGCUCUGCUUCUCAGUUCUGAGGGGACAGGGGAGACUUAAGACUAAAUGAUUUUUAAUAGGUCCCACAAUGUGCAAAAAUAAUCCAAAAUAAUGUAAUCUUGCUGUAAGUCUCUCUCUGCCAGGUGCUUCUGAGCAAAAUGUAGCUCAACAAUGGGAGAAAACUGGCCUCCCUCCUGAGAACAGAAACCCAGGAAUGUAAAGCCGUCCUGUUCCACUUCUGCCUUCAUUCAGGAUGACCUCCACGCUAUGUUCUCACUCACUGAAUGACCUUGGGGAAAUGGUUUUUGAGUCUUUGUGUUUCUAGAUGAAUGCAUGGGAAUGACUAUUCCUUUCUACUCUGUAGGAUUUGCCAGUUAGGAAUAAAGGCACUCUAGAACUUGCAGGAUAUAAAUCUUA